rnacentral:rRNA from 1 species
UACGUAGGCAGCAAGCGUUGUUCGGAAUUACUGGGCGUAAAGAGUGUGUAGGCGGUGCUCUAAGUCUGUUGUGAAAUCUCCCGGCUUAACCGGGAGGGUGCGGCGGAAACUGGAGUGCUUGAGGGUGGGAGAGGUAAGCGGAAUUCCUGGUGUAGCGGUGAAAUGCGUAGAUAUCAGGAGGAACACCUGUGGUGUAGGCAGCUUACUGGACCACUUCUGACGCUGAGACACGAAAGCGUGGGUAGCAAACAGG